rnacentral:lncRNA from 1 species
CUGGCACACAAAUGCCUGAAAAUGUUAGUCGUUGAUAUAGAAAAAACAACAAUAACAAUACUAGCUUCCUUUUUAGGGCUUCCCUGGUAGCUCAGUCUGUAAAGAAUCUGUCUGCAGUGCAGGAGACCUGGGUUUGAUCCCUGGUCAGGAAGAUACCGUGGAGAAGGAAAUGGCAAACCACUCCAACUUCCCUAGUGGCUCAGAUGGUAAAGAAUCUACCUGCAAUUCAGGAGACCUGGGUUCAUUUCCUGGGUUGGGAAGAUCCCCUGGAGGAGGGCAUGGCAACCAACUCCAGUAUUCUUGCCUGGAGAAUCCCAUGGACAGAGGAGCCUGGUGGGCUACAGUUCAUGGGAUUGCAAGAGUCAGAUAUGACUUAGCAACUAAACCACCACCACCUCACCACAGCUUCCUUUUUACUUGUCAUGUUUUUAGUCAGAGAUAAUCAGCCCAUGACCUGGGGGUCUUGAUAUGUGAUCUACACAAUGCUAACAUACAGAAGAGGCAGCCACGUUUGGAGGCCCUAUGAUGUCCUGGGUGCCUGUUCUGAGCAGCGUGUUCACGUGUGCUGUCUCAUCGUUCUUCUCAACUGCAGGGAGGCUUGGAGGUGAAGAGAUAUGCAGCCGUGUCACAUGGUGUCAUAAGUGGUGGAAUGAGAUGACCCCAAAGCCCUGCUCUGAUUACCAGAUUCCCUUUGCCCCAGCACCAAAGCAGAGGAGACCCAGAAGGAUAAGCCAGAGCAUUGGAGAGCUGGGUUCCCACCCCAACAGUAAGGGCUGUUGUGAGGAUUAAAUGACGCCGUGCAGAUGAAGCAAUGGCACCUACCAAGCACUGACAAGAGGGUCACCACUGGGCCCCCAGGGGGCUCUCUGGGGCAGACCUCCGCUCCAGGCCACUCGGACACCUUGUCGCCCAAGCCUGCAGGGCUCGCUGCAGCUCCCGGCCUUUGUCCAGCUGGGUUCCCUGGGUCGCAAGGGCCUGCACAGAGACCCGGCCGCACUCUUCCCACGGGAGGCCUUUCCAUCCUCACUGUCUCCGCCAGGCCCCCAGCCCUGCGUGUGUUUUCUCUCUGUAAUGCUCCCUGGUGCUCUAUGGUGUGUGUACCACAUGCUCAACACUGCUGGGGGCUGGGCUCUUCCUGUUGCCCCCGUUCUGCCCGCAGCUGGACAAGGCAGCCGCCCUCUCACUCAUCACAGGUGGAAACCCAAGUCGGAGCCUGCAGGUUCCUGACCACCCAGCAGUGGGGGCUGGGCUCACCUUCGAUCCUGACUCUUGCCCCAGCACUUUCUGCUCAGGGCUGCCCACUUGGGCCUUCUGAUAAAGGUAUGUUUCCCAGUUGGUUAUUUUCAAGGGAAAAGUCUCAUGUUUGGGGCAGGGAGGGAUUGACAGGGGAGAGGGGUGAUGGACUUUUUUUCUUCCCAGGAAGAGAAUGA